GACGAACGCUGGCGGCGUGCUUAACACAUGCAAGUCGAACGAUGAACCCGGAGCUUGCUCCGGCGGAUUAGUGGCGAACGGGUGAGUAACACGUGAGUAACCUGCCCUUGACUCUGGGAUAACUGCUAGAAAUGGUAGCUAAUACCGGAUACGACCCUCGGUGGCAUCACCAGGGGGUGGAAAGAAUUUCGGUCAAGGAUGGACUCGCGGCCUAUCAGCUAGUUGGUGAGGGAACGGCUCACCAAGGCGACGACGGGUAGCCGGCCUGAGAGGGUGAACGGCCACAGUGGGACUGAGAUACGGCCCAGAAGCCUACGGGAGGCAGCAGUGGGGAAUAUUGCACAAUGGGAACAAGACUGAUGCAGCGACGCCGCGUGAGGGAUGACGGCCUUCGGGUUGUAAACCUCUUUCAGCACCGACGAAGCGCAAGUGACGGUAGGUGCAGAAGAAGGACCGGCCAACUACGUGCCAGCCGCCGCGGUAA
rnacentral:rRNA from 1 species